rnacentral:lncRNA from 1 species
CAGCGAGUUCCUCGGUCAGGGUUCCCCUUGGAGUUCCUCAGCAGGCACUUGAAGUGGGAGCAGCUUGCCCCAUGGGAUGUGUGCUUGGAGAUCUCGAGCUGUGGUGGAAAGGGGCCUGGAUAGACUCUAGUGGAUCUAGACCUGAUCCUGCAUCGAUGGACUACCACCAAGACCAAUGGGUGAGGCGUUCAGCCUUCUGCAGCUUCAGACUUUUGCUGUCCUCUGACGUGUAAGCUGGGGUUGGCAGUGUCCUCAGGGAGAGCUGCUGGAUGCGCACAACAUGCCUGCCUGUGGGUAUCUCCUGGGCUAUCCACCCAGGAGGCAGCUGCCCAAAAACCACUACGUGCUCGGAGAUACGCUUACAGGGCAUCUUGGCAGGCUUGAAUAGAAUGGGCUGGGAUGUCUCCACAGAGCUUGAAUACUUCAGUGUUGAUGUGAGUGCUUCAUUGCUGGAGCACUGCUUAAGAGAUCUCCACUCGUGCUUAGACCACCGAGGGCUUUUUCAAAUGAGAGGGCUCUGUUGUUUUUAUCCAGUCCUUCUCCGUGUAGAGAGAGUGAUUUCUUAAGCACACAGAGGUUUGUGAUGCAAGUACUCAUUAUCCACCACAGUUUGUUACAAAUGAAUCAUAAAGUAAACUUAAUGAAACAAAG